UCCAAACCACAUCUGUGGGCUACACCACAGCUCACGACAGCAUCAGAUCCUUAACCCACUGAGUGAGGCUGGGGAUUGAACCUGUGUCCUCAAGGAGUCUAGUCAGAUUUGUUUUUGCUGAGCCCACUGAGAAACUUUGAAAGAAGUCAGGGUGGUUGCUCUUCUGUAAUAUCCAUCUCAAGACUAAAGAUGAGCUGUGUUAGCAUUCUCCCAAGUGUGCUUCACAAAAUGCUUGUUCCAGGAAAUGCUAUAGAAAAGAAAGAUUUUGAGUUCAGGGUUGGGGACAAACUUAUACGACAUAUAUGCCACCCUUCUUCCAUUGGUCCCUUGGAUAUUUACAAAGUGCUUUGGCUUAUAAAAGGCACUUACAUACUCGGAUCAUUCUUUAACUCAGAAUUUCUCUCAUUUACCAGGUGAUCUGACCACUGUCCUCAGCUUCCUACAGCAUUUCAUUUGGGAAAUGCUGUUUGAUAUUUUCACAGUAUUUCACUUUAAAAAUUCAUUCCUCUUUUAUGUUUUUUAAAUUGUAGGCUCGUCAACUUUCUGUUGGGAUACUGAUAAUGACUAAUAUUUUAUAACAAAAAAGUGUAAGAUCUGUAUUUAACAUAUGUCUGAUUUCUCCUAUACCUGCGUUCACAGAUAGAAGUUUUGUGACUUCACGGCAGCACCUUACUGUGAGAGACAAAAUCUAGUAAAUAACGAAAUCAUUUGUUUCUCACUCACCUGGAAUACGGUGGCAGAGGUGGGUGAGGGUUCUGCUCCUUAUUUAAGAACUCGGGUUGAAGGAAAUGUUGCCAUUUGUGUUGUAGUGGCUUCGCAAAUCACCUUGGGCGUUGCGUCUAGCCAGAAAAGGGGGAGCAAGAGAGUACAAAGAAUUGUGAGGGAAAUUCACGUGGAACUGGCCUAUUCUUUACACACAUGUUCCACUGAUGAGGAUUCAGCCAUAGGACCUUGACCGUGGAAGACUGGAUGUGCUAUUCCUGGCUGAGUGGCGGCUUUCAAGCAGCAGCUCCAAAAUAGGGAGAACCUCAAUUUUUGUUGAAAAACUAGCUCUCUACAAACCUGUAUUUAUGCAUAUGUAAGUGGUGAGUGUGAUUUUUCUCACUUUGUGUUAAUCGUAAGUUAUCUCAUUUGAUUCUUACAUGGACUCUGUUGGGAUCAGUAGGGCAGGUAUAAAUCCCUUAAUUUACAAACAGUAAUGCAGUCCUGAAUUAAAUGAUUAUAGUAGGAUAAAUAGAUUCUGUGUGUCACAUGUGUUAGGAGGGGUUUUAAUCAAUUAUUUUUGUAGUUGUUAAAAUAUUGUUAGCCUGAAUUACAUUUUUUAGGGGAAAUUCACACUUUCCAGAGGAGAGGUUUUUUGAACUUGGAACCUUCUUCUAAUUUACUGAGAAAUUAUCAGAAGUGCCCCAGGCUGCUCUCUGUUGAAAGAGUCUAAUAAAAAAGGUUUAUUUGAAAAAAAAAAAAAGUUGAAAUAAUUUCUAUUCAUUGACUGACAGUGGUCAGAGUAGGAAUAUUAAUGAGGCUAAGCUCAUUCUGCUGCAGGAUGGGCUGGUAAAUUGAAAGAUGAAUUGUUGGGACAAGGCAUAGCAAUUCUCUUUGGAAAGGGGAAAGAUGGUGAACUGGUAUCCCAAGAAACGAUCCUACCAGAGUUAGAAUUCAGGCUUCUUUUUCACUAAAAGAGGCGGGCGUGUGGCUGGUUGCUGCACACUUCUUGGUGCUUCAAUCCUUUGUCCUUUGUUCGUGCAGCUGUUCAUGUUGGUCUGGUCACAAUGUUCCUAUAAACCUCCGACAAGACAACUAUUAUUCUCUAUUCUGCAACUUUUUUUCUCUAUGUGAAUGGAGGAGUGUUAUGCAUUUAAAGGUCAGAGCCAUGAGAAUGGGCUAUCCUGUAUAUUUCAGGCUAAGGCAACAUCCUAUUACAAAGGUGCAGAGCCAGCAUGACGAAGCACAGGCAACAGAGCAUAAAGGUCUGGAAGAGUCAUUCAGAAAACUGCAUGGGAACAUCCACGUGAAAGAAGGGGUUCGACUUGUGCUGGGGUUCGACUUGUGCUGUUGGGUAACUGUCCCUGGAGAAGGUAAGAUUGUAUCUGGUUCUGCAGGGAGGGAAGGACUUUGACCUGUGUUUACAUGGUGGGAAUAGUGGUUGACUGGGUCUUGCAGAUUGAGUGAGCACAUACCUUGAGCAAAGAAUCAGAGCUUUAUAUAUCCAGAGUGAUGAAUUUAGAUGCAUUGUUAAACUUUUAAAAAUUAUAAGCAUUCCCAUUUAUUGAGCACUUGACAGUUGCCAGGCACUGUGUUGUUGUUACCAAAACAAACUUGGUUCUGCUCACCCAAAGUGCAGUAAAACCAAUGUACUGACACCAGGUUGUGGUGAAGGGAAAUGCAGCGUUUAUUGAAGGGCACCAAACAAGGAGAAUGGAAAGCUCAUGCUCAAAAGAACUGGGUUCCCUGAUGUUUUCAGGGAAGGGGUUUUAAAGACAGUGUGAAAGAGGACUCUGCAGGGUGCAUGAUAAGCUCCAGCACAAUUCUCAGAUUGGUUGACAUCAAGGUGAAGUUUCAAGUAUCAUCAACCCUCUGGUUUCAAGCAGUCUAAGGACUAUGCUCUUGUGGUCAGUAGUUUUCAUCUGGCAGGGGUCUACUUCCUAUAAAAACAACUUAGAAAUGUGUCAGGCUUUUAUCUCUAUCUUUCAGGGAAUUGUGAGUUCAGUGAUUCUGCCAUGUGGUGGAUUUAUGGUCUAAAUUGUGACCAGUUUCCCAACCCAAAAGCUAUUCUUUGUUUCUCCAUCCUCACAUAUCCUAACCACUAACUUUUGAUCUGGCUUUAAAGAAUUAAAGGAGGCCUAGAAGACUAAAGCACAAAUCUUUUAUUUCAAGGAUGGGCACACAGGAGCUUGUAUACAGUUUCAAUCCUUCCUUUUCUAUAAUACUUUUCAAUCUUUUUUUUUUCCUCAAAUAAUUUCUUUUUUUUUUGUCAUUUAGUCUUUUCUAGGGCCCCCCCUGCAGCAUAUGGAUAUUCCCAGGCUAUGGGUCUAAUCGGAGCUGUAGCUGCCAGCCUAUGCCAGCAACACAGGAUCUGAGCUGAAUCUGUGACCUAUACCACAGCUCACAGCAACGCUGGAUCCUUAACCCACUGAGUGAGGCCAGGGAUCGAACCUGCAACCUCAUGGUUCCUAGUCGGAUUCAUUAACCACUGAACCACAACAGGAACUCCAUAAAUUAAUUGUUUUAUUUUUAAAUGAUUUUUAUAUUUUACAUUGUAGUUGGUUUACCGUGUUCUGUCAGUUUUCUGCUGUACAGCCAAGUGACCCAGCCACACACACACAUAUGUAUAUAUAUUCUUUUUGUCACCCACCAUGCUCCAUCACAAGUGACUAGAUACAGUUCCCAGUGCUAUACAGCAGGAUCUCAUUGUACUCCUCAGUCUUAGUGGACACAUGUUCAGGAAAAGAAAGGGAGUACGUUUUGGAUAGAGAGGUUAACCAUAAACUCAGCAGAGGAACGCAGUUUUAGGAAGACUUGGUUUCACUAAGUUUACAUGUAUGAUCUCCUACUGUUGUCCAAACUAACCCAUAGAUGUUUUCCGUUAGAGCCUCCAUUGUAUGAACACAGGAAAGUGGAGAUUCCAGGAGAGUAAGUGAUAGGCCCACCACAACCAUACAGCUACUUAGAGUCAUGGUUGAACUCCAAAUCCUUAAAUUCAGAAGACCUUCUAGCAGGUAAUGAUAACAAAAAUGCUUCUCAUUCUAUCAGUUAUAAAAUGAGUCCCCAAACCUCCCAACGUGUGUUAGUAAUAUACACGUUUUUCGCUCUCCUUAGUUUAUACCUUCGUUACGGUUCUUGAAACCUAAAGGCCUUUGGCUAAAUCCAGUUGUUGAGGCAGUAGUGAGACCUGGAGGACCGUGCAAUGGCCGUGGUAGAGAGAGCGUGUUCUGGAGCCAUACUGGGGGAUUACCUGCUGUCUCUGACUGUGACUCAGGGCAUGUCCCCUGAACUCAUGAGUUUAGAUGUUUCCAUCCAUAAAACAGAGCGGUGAGGACUGAAUGAGGUAAAAUAUUUAAAAGUUUCAUAUAGAUGUCACAUAACAUGUAGUGAACAUACAGUCCAUAAAACCAUAAAUUCAUCACCUACAUCAUCACCUGUGAUAGACUUAAGUAUAAAUGUCUGAGUUUGCAACUUUUAAAAUGUGCAUAGUUUAAAAAGUCAGGUAAACUUGGGAUAUUAAGCAUCUCAACUGUAAACGAGAUAAUGUUGUUACUUGCCUAUGGGAAAUGAAGUAUGUGGAAAUGUUUUCUGAAACACAAAGUCCCAUACAAAUGUACGUGGUGUUUUGCUGAUGAUGAGCUGCCCGAGGCUCCUUCCCUGUCUCUGGCUUGAGAAUGCUCUGGAGAGGGAUGGAGCACCCCCAUAAUGGAGUGUUUGUUGCUCUGUGCUUGAAUGUAUUGCCUUGGGAUCCGCCAUAACACUCUUAGGCAUAUCCUGGUAUUUCAGAAAUGUUUAGAGCACCCGAAAAAGUAUUUCAGAAUGGUCAGCCAAGUUAAGGUAUGUUUAUCCAUUGUUGUUUCCUGUCUUUGUUAUGACGGGAGAAGUUCACAGCAGUUAAAAGUAUGUUUUAAAAUAAUGCCAUUUAUGAGCCAUCAGGAACGAGCAUUCAGAAUGUCUAACAGCUUCUGGGAACUCAGCCACACUGGAGAAUUGGAGAACCAUUGAGUGUAGGCUUUCAGAUCCACAACACCUUGUGAAUGAGCUCCACUUCUCUUUUCUUCCUGCUCAGUAAUAAAUGAUCUUGUUGUGAAGUGGGUAACAUGAAAGCAUAUGAGCCUCAGAGAUUGGGGUAUGUGACAGCUCCAAAUGAUGUUGUUUAAAAAAAAAGAGCAUUCUUUGUGUAAGUGUAAGUAUAAUCAAUGUGUAGUGACAGGUCAAGGUUGUGGAAAUUCAGAUUCUGUUUCUGUGGACCACAUUAAGCAUUAGAUACAGAAGUAACUGAUUUCUCUAUUGUACUACACCCUGCCAAAUGAUUAAUGUGCUCUUAGCUUAAAUAAUUGGGAGGGGUGGCACCUCAGGGAAUGCUAAAGAUAUUUUUAAUUGCUAUAUAAAUAUGUCAUUUCCUUAAUAAUUCAAGUUAUGCAUGGGAGGUUAUAGAAUACCAGAAGGCCUCCAGGCAUAAUGUAUUGCACCUAUGAGCUGAGUUGAAGGACUAACAGGACCCAGCUGAAGAUGAAAUAUUCUUUGCGAACUCUGUCUUAGCAAAUGAAGAAUAGACGCUGAAGCAUGUCGUUGCUUUAUAAAAGCAGAAUUAUUGUUUGGCAUAGAGUAUAUUCACUAAAUAAUCUUAUGAAAUGUUGGAAAGAACAUACAUGUUCUAUAACCAAAAAAAAAAAAGUGCCAUCCCAAGGGAAAUGAUUUGGGAGAAUUUCACAGGGUGAAGGAGAAAUGAACAUUGACUUUGGCAUGAAGCAAAGAUAACAAAUGGCAGAGGACAUUAAUUUCCUGUUGUCUGCCUUCACGUUACAGUCUCCAACUGACCUCAUCAAUGUUGAUAUCUCUGAAAGCAAAUAUUCAUUUAACUGUAGUUCUUGUGCUUUGCCCUUUAUGUUCUAACUUCUCUUCUUAGAGAAAGAGAGAAAGAAGGGAGCAAGAGUCUAAGUAAGAAUCAAAUGUUUGAAGUUGUGCUAAGUCAUCUUUUCAGGAUCAGCAGAUGUUGAUGGAUUAUCUAGUUAAUCUAAAAAGUUGGAUCUCACAUUCUGAGUCUGUAAAGAAGUCAUCUUUCAGUUUUGGGAUAAAUCCACUUUUUGUUGACAGCACCACUGACCUGUGAUUCUGAAUUACCAUCAGAAGCACUUGUAUGAUAGGGAGGCGAGGUGACUAUUGAGAUAUUGAAGACGUGAGUACAAGGACCAUUUGCUCUUUUAAAAAAUCUCCUGAUGAUAGUUUCCUUGAACAUCUCUGUUUGUGCCAUGGACCCUGGUUCAUUAACAGAAAGAUAAUCGAUAUAUUAUAUAUGGAAGGCAGAUUCAUUCAGUGACCAGGUGCCAAGCAAAUGGUGGUCUUUGGCAAACCCAGUAGUGCGAUAUGGACAGCAAUCAAAUUGCUAUCAGAUGUGCCCAAUCACUGAUCAUUAUUUUAUUUGCAAGGGCCUGGAGGUGACUUUUAAUGUAAAGCCAAAUAGAAUCAGAAAUCAAUUAAUGAGUGAUUGCUGUUUCUCCUACAAAUUGAUCUUGGAUUUGGCAGCCUGGAGAACUUAUUGUGCCAGAAUCCAUGCAUGAGCUACAUUAAAAUACAGCUAAGAGUUUAAAUCAGUUAAUUAGAUCAGUUCCUCUAACUUCUUCAAAAAGAGCCCUACUUUUUCUGAAGCAUAACUUCUAAUUUUCUUUACUCCCAUUCUUGGUAACUUUCCAUGAUUUUCUUAAUCUGUAGCAUUUAGUCGCUGACAAGGAAUGAUGGAGAUCUUUGUAUGUUACAUAUCUUCCUAAAUAUUUAUGAAAGGAAAACCUAAUAAAGACAUUAUUUUAGAAAUAUAAUAAUUUCAAUAUUUAGAAAUAUAAAAUAUUGAAGCCAUAAGGUUUCAAUACUAGCCUCAUAAAAAUCAGUGUUAGUUGUGAAUCUGUGAAAAUGGCAUCACAUGUACAUAUCUGAAAUGUUGAUAUGACUGUGAUGAAUGUGGGAGAGGAAGGAAGGUAAGAUCUUUAUUUAGAGUAAGCCUGUCAUAAUACUUGUACAUUGCUUCCCACCACCGUCCCCCAAGUGCCCGCACACAAACACUCAAAUAUGUGAAGAGACACAAAUUUCUGAAGCUUUUUCGUCUCCCAGCCUCUUCAAAGAUAAACUUCCCUCUUGUCUUAUUCCCAUGUUGGCUGCCUAAUCUGAAAGGCUUAGCAAAUUCUUCUUUUUGCAAGAUGUGUCUCUUUAAAAUGAUAGCCUAAAGGGCUUAUCUAAAGAUAAGCAUCUACCAGGAAUUCUUGAUCCUUUUUCCCACUGGUUAGAGGAGAUAUUCCUAUGUCCCCAAACUUGGGUUGCUCUUCAUCUCACCAGGAGACAGGAGGUAUACCUCAGAGAUCUUCUGAGAAGAUUGCAACUCUUGCUUAUGACAGCCUGGACUAACUCUAGAAGGGUCAAGCUCCAAGGACAUUCUCAACAUUGUGGACGUUGUUUGUUUUGUCUUCUGUACUGUAGCAUAAGGAUUAAGAGCAAAUACUCUGGAGCCACACUGCCAUUACUUUCUAACUAUGUGACCCUAGGCAAAUUAUUUAAGUUCUUCAUGUCUUAGUGUCCUUAUAAUAACAAUCCACAUACAUUGGAGAGUCGUCAUAUGACUAAAUGAAUUAAUAGUGCCUAGCACAUAGUAGUGCUAUAUCUAUGCAUAUUUCUCUUAUCUUUUUGAAAUUUCACAGGGUAAAAAAAAAAAAACCUCCAAGUUUAACAGUUUCUUUGAUGACACUUUUUUUUAGUAAUCUGUGGACAUGUAUUAUGGGUUAAUAGAUGAAAUCUAUUGCAUUGGAGUGGAUAAGCAAUGAGAUCCUGCUGUAUAGCACAGGGAACUAUAUCGAGUCACUUUUGAUGGAAGAUAUAUAACUGGGUCAUUUUGCUGUACAGUAGAAAUUGAUAACACUGUAAAUCAACUAUAAUGGAAAAAUAAAAAUCUAAAAAAUGAAAUAAAAUACUGUUUCAUGUAAUAUUGCUUUAGUUUGCUUAUUAUUUGCUGUGCUUCUUUUUGGUUCAUAGCUAGCCUCUAGUGCUUUAUAUUAACUGUUUGGAAAAGUAGGGCAAUGGAUCCCUAUUUGCAGCCUUGGUCCUUUUAGCACACACAGACUGAGUGUAUCCUCAGAUAUUUCUCAAAUACAGACAACAUCAGGUCACACAGUGAGGUUGGUUCCCAUUUCAAACCCUAUUUCACUCGACAUCUGUCUCAUCGCAUAACUGCUUAUCAUUUCUAUAUAAAAAUGAUAGAGUGGCAACAGAAUGCUCACAUAUUUACUCCAUCCACACAUUCAACAGAAAUUUAUUAAGGUCCUGACAACAGAAAUACAGCAGUGAGGAAGAGAUAAAGGUUCUACCUCUUAGAGCCUAUGGUCUGGUGGGAGAAGAAGGCACUGAACACACGUGAUAAAGGGACAUGUUGCAGCAAAGCAUAGGACAGGGACAGAGGAGACCUGCCUGAGAAAUGAAAUAUAACCUAAGCAGUGCCUUUACUCUGCUGUUGAUCUAAACUCUGAAGUGUUAUGGGUAUUUAUUUUCACAACAUCCUUAUAGACUACCUCCAAGCCCAUUUCUUGCUGUCUGUGGGUCACUGGAGACAGCUUGAACCAGUUCACUUUUAGGUAUUUUGCCAAUUGAGUCAGUUAUUAAACACACCCAUUAUUAAAAUUAGAUUUGCUUACAAAUUUACCAUUAAAUAAAUUAAAAUGUAAUGAGUACUCAAAAAUCAUCAUUUCUUAAUUACAUUUUACUGCAUUAUGUGGUUAUUUAUGUUCUGGAGGGUUUUUAGACCAUGGCAUCUAUAUGGAGGAAAUACUACAUAACAAUGUUCUUUUUUCAACUCUUUGUGCAGUGAAGUCAUUUUGUUAGGUAACAGCUUGAAAUUGGCCAUGGUGGGGAUACUUAAACCACAGCAAUUGACAAACAUACAAAUUAGGAGGGUCAUUGCUGCUUUGUUUUUUUGUGGACAGCCUGCUUUUAAAUAUUCCUUAACACAGUAUUGUUUUACUUCACUUCCUGACAUCCAGAACAUUUAUCUGCCUCCCUGGUCUGGCUAGCUUAUAUUAACAUGUUGUGUGAUGAACUCAAAGAAGGCAAAACCAGGGGACUGGUGACAUGGCUUCUAAUACCAAACUUUGUUGCUGGUGAGUUUCACAUUCUGGGCAUGUCACUUAAUAAAUGUCAGUUCUUGGCACUCCAAGAUGAAACAGAUAGACCUGACUCCUGCUUUUAAAGAGGCCAUAUUCUAAGGCCAGCAUAUGUCUUACUGAUUACAAUCAAUUCUGAUCUAAUGGUGCUUUGGGGAUAAGAUGGGGAACAUCUCAUAUUGGACACUUGAGAGGAUUUCAUUGAGAAUUUGGUCAGUGAAGCAGGAUCUUCGCAGAAUGUACUAGCUCUCAGUAGACAGAGGACCACCUUGGCAGGUGUGAUGUAGUCUUGCCUGAAUCAAGGAUGGGGAACUGCUGGGGCCUGCAAUAGUGGGCGAAACAGAAUUAGAAAUUAAUAACAGAUUGUGAUUGCAAUAGUAGUGGGAGGCCAAAAGAGGCUCUUUUUAACAAAAUUUUUAUUUGUUUCAUUAUAGCUGAUUUACAGUGUUCUGUCAAUUUUCUACUGUUCAAAAGAGUUAAAUGAUUUUUUUUACAAGUUGGGUCAUCAUCUCUUUUGCAUUUUAGCAUAUCAGCUUUGACACCUGCAAAAGGAAUGGAUAGAAAGGAUUGGCGUACCAGACAUAGCCAGGAUGUUAGAAGGGAGACUAUGGGUGGGUGUGGAGCCUGAAAUAGGUAAGUGGUAGUGACCACUGCUUUCUUCAUCCAGAAAAAGGACAAAUGUUUCCCCUGACCGGGGCCAUAUUAUAAUUUUGAAGACUCUACACACUUUAGCUUUUGUGGGCUCCUGGCUUCACAAAAAUGCAUCAAAAUUUUAUUCUGCUACAGUGUUGGUAUAAAAACCAGUAGGCUAAUAAUACAUAUAAAUUAUCUUAUUCUACCUAAAAGCCCAUUUAUUUCCUUCUGAUUUUAAAAGAAAGGAAACCAUUGUUGUGGGCCUUUAAAAUUAUUGUGGACCUUUGGCUCUGGGCGUUAAAAUGGGGAUGUCAGUUCUGCCUCUGCUCCAUUCAUAAAGUUGGUAAACAAAUGAAGGAACAGUUAGGUAAGCUCUUGGAAGAUUAACACAGUACAAACUUAGUCUUUUUAGAAUUCUUGUAGUAUAGAUAAGCUUGCAUAAUCCCACGGUGGUGGUCAUUUCUUUGUUAAUUGUCUUUAUCACUUGUUUAGAAAUCACAACACUGUUUUUCAAGAGGUUUGUCGUUUCUUUACUCACUGGAUAACAACAUGUGUGAUUGUGCAAGGGGUGUGCAAGACAGGUGUGGGUGCAUUGUGGAAGUAAAGGGAGACCAACCAAAUGGGAACAAGCAGAGGCUAUUUAUUCAGAGCUUCCUGCAGCAAGGGAGUUGGCCGCCCUCACCUGUGUUUUGGCAGAGACUCAAAGGCAGGCGGGAAAGUAGCAAAAAUUUCAGCAUGCCUCCUUUGGAGGCUAUUUUCCCAAAGAAUUUGUAGGCAGACUACCUCUGGGCCAGGCAUCUGUGUAAUUGGUUAGGGGGACUUAUUUGGCUUUUUUUGGUUUGUUCUAAAUUGGAAAUGGAGACAGAAUGAGAGAAGCUAUCAGUUAUUGAUUAAGUCUUGGCUAUUUGGGGCUGAUUGUUCAGUUACUGUUUAGCCUCUUGCAUUAUCACUAGAGCUAGCAGGCUGGCUUGCUGCGAAUUUGAUUUAUAGCCAGACUGGCUUCCUGAGUGUGUUAUUGUAAAUUCCUGGACAGGUUGCUGUGAUUGUGGGUCUUUGUAUGUAUGGUCUGGUCAUUGUCUGCUUGUAUAGACAGUAUUUCACCAUGGACCAUGUCCUGAGCUAAACUGUACCUCCAGUCCUCUUCAUCUCUCUCUCAAGAAGGUACUCAACAUUUAUGGAGAACAACUGUGUCGUAGAGAGUUUAGGUGAUUGGGUAGCAAGAGGCAGAGUUUCAAGUUCGUGUGUGUCUGUUUCCAAAGCCUGGGGGUUUAUAGCUUCCUUACUUGCAAAGUGAGGAGACUGACUCAAUAAUCUCCAGAGUCUAUUCUUGGUCAAAUUCACUGAUUCCAAACCAGGUCACAAGAGUUUCUCUUCUCAGUCAUCACCUUAGUUGGUCCACCAGAGCAACUGUUGCCUGCCAACCCAGUGACGUCAUGACUUGAAUCAGGGCAUAUCCACAGGACCUUGUGGAGGUUCAUCUUUCCUUACCUCGAAUUUGUAAACAAAAGUGAAGUCCCCCUACCUGGCCAGCUGAACACUUCCCAGGAAGCAAGCUCCCUGAAGGAGGUAGGCUUCCCCAUGUUCCCAACCACAGCAGGACAUUUUCCCCUGGAACAAUUCAUGCACAGAGAGAUAUUCGGUGUGGGCGAAGAGAAUGCACCAUCAUGUCAUUCAGUCAUGCCUGGGAUUCCUCAGCUUCUCCCCAGUGCAGAGAAAUGAUUAAUGUCUUGGGACAAACGCCAAGAAAAUCAUGAAAAUAGCAAAAAUAUUUCGACUGCAGUUGUAGAGCACAUAAACUUGUCACUAGAGUGAUGAGAAAACUGCUGGGUUGCCUCUCAUUAGCAGCAAAAUAUUUUAUUUAUAUACGUGGCUUUGUGAGAAUUUUUAUUAUUGCAGCACAGAGGGUAUCUGGAGGGCUUUUGGCUUAGGGAAGUGGGAUGAUGGAGAGAAAUUAAGAGGAGAUGUUUCAUGCCCUUGUUGGGAUGCCCAGCUGUGGGACACUGAACCCUUGCCAACAUAUUGAUUGAUGACUAUUUAUUGAGCGUUCAUGAGUGUGGAGCAUGGUAGAUACAUUAUGAUAUGGGACUUGCUGACUUCUGGAUGGUAUGGUUGAAACUGUUUCAAGAGGCAGGCAUGUGUGAAAAACAAAAGAAGGGAGAGUGUCUUUUCACAAUACUCAUGAUAGCUUAUCUUAGUAUGUUGCCAGACCUCUUGCAUUUAGCUGUCUGUGCAUUAUUCCCUUUAACCUUCACUGUGACUCCAGAGGUAGGUUACUCAUGCAAUUCCUAUUUUGAGAUAAUUGAGCUUUGGAGAGGUUACAUGACUUAGCAGUGCCUAUUGGUAGUAAGAGAUAAAACUAGGCCUCAGCCCAAAUAUUCCGACACCCAUGCUUAAGCACUAACCACCAAGUUCUACUGCCUCCCCAAACAAAGAAUGUCUCAGCACCACACACACACACCGUUUUUUUUGGAAAGGGGUUUACGGGUCAUUUCCACCUGAGGCUUUCUAACUGUCCUACAGGAGUCUGAGGGGUUUGCUAAGAAGCCCAGAGGAAAGGACACUGACCAAAUUCCCACCCCUGUGUCAAGCUGAGUGGAUUGGCACUUGACUUAUGUAUUUAAUAUCUCUAGAUAAAUUCUUUAGAGAGCCAGUUCCUUUGGAGGGUGGGGAAUGAACAAAGUUUAAAAGAACAAAGGUAUAAGUUCUAGUUUAUUGUAUUCAUUUUAGAGUAGGGAUUGGCCAACUUGUUUAUAAAGGGCCAGAUAGUAAAAGUUUUAGGCUUGUAAGGCCUGUACAUGAUUUUUAAAA